ACGCCUGUAGCUCAAUUGGUAGAGCGGCGGUCUCCAAAACCGCAGGUUGGGGGUUCGAUUCCCUCCGGGCGUGCCA
rnacentral:tRNA from 2 species